CCCGCUGAAGUGCAGUGCUGGUGAAGACCACAGCCCUGGAGAGGCGAAGAAGCAGAAGAUGCGCUGGGCAGUGAGGCCCAAGGCCUGUGCUGCAUGGAGGGGUGCAGAGGCCUCUCCACGCCACCCCCACCCUCAGGGCUGCCAUCCACGUACAAACGGAGGGGUGAGCAAAAUCAUCAGGCACAUCAAUCCCCCAGCCAGGGGAAGUUCAGACGAAGGAGAUGAUGGAUAGGAUUAGUUCCUGCUGGACCCCAGCUUGGUCCCUCCAACUUGCAGACAAGUUUCAUUAAGCAUCUUCAAUUAAAAAUAAAGAAUCUUCAUGGAAUAUAAAGGACAUGAGUAACAUCACCAGCUGUGAAAUGACUCUUAAGAACACAUCCACCGCAGUGUAACUGUAACUGAAGACUAAAGCCAUUUCCGCUUAACUCAGAAACGAGACAAGGAUGUGCACUCUCUCCACUUCUGUUCAAUUUAG